rnacentral:rRNA from 1 species
GUCCACGCCGUAAACGAUUGAUGCCAGCCGUUGGCAAGCAUGCUUGUCAGUGGCGCAGCUAACGCAUUAAGCAUCCCGCCUGGGGAGUACGGCCGCAAGGUUGAAACUCAAAGGAAUUGACGGGGGGCCCGCACAAGCGGUGGAGCAUGUGGUUUAAUUCGACGCAACGCGCAGAACCUUACCAGGGUUUGACAUCCUGUGCUCGGCUCAGAAAUGGGCUUUCCCCGCAAGGGGGCGCAGAGACAGGUGCUGCAUGGCUGUCGU